rnacentral:rRNA from 1 species
GAAGCAAACAGAUCUCCUUCGGGAGUGACGUUUGUGGAACGAGCGGCGGAUGGGUGAGUAUCACGUGGGCAACCUGCCUGUAAGAUCGGGAUAACUCGCGGAAACGUGAGCUAAUACCGGAUGAAGUCUUACGCCACCUGGCGUAAGGAUGAAAGAUGGCCUUUGUGCUAUCACUUACAGAUGGGCCCGCGGCGCAUUAGCUAGUUGGUGGGGUAAUGGCCUACCAAGGCGACGAUGCGUAGCCGACCUGAGAGGGUGAUCGGCCACACUGGGACUGAGACACGGCCCAGACUCCUACGGGAGGCAGCAGUAGGGAAUCUUCCGCAAUGGACGAAAGUCUGACGGAGCAACGCCGCGUGAGUGAUGAAGGUCUUCGGAUCGUAAAAACUCUGUUGUCAGGGAAGAACAAGUGACGUUCGAAUAGGGCGUGACCUUGAC